rnacentral:rRNA from 2 species
AGGUGCGAUCAUACCAACAAGAAUGCACCAAAUCCCAUCAGAACUCCGUAGUUAAGCAUGCUUGGGUGAGAGUAGUACUAGGAUAGGUGACCUCCUAGGAAGUCCUCGUGUUGCAUCUC